UCCUCGGAGGUUGUAUGGUGAAGUCAACGCGGAGGUGGUGCGGGCUUCCCGGCGGGGCUGUGGGCAGGCUUCGGCGCGCUGAUGCGCUUGCGCGGGGCUAGAUCCUGGGCCCUUUGGGGAGCGUGGAGAUGGCGGCGGUUGGGGGACCUUCGCCGGAGCCGGCGGCUUCCGAACAGCCGGCGGAGCUCCCUGCAUCGGUGCGGGCGAGCAUAGAGCGGAAGCGGCAGCGGGCGCUGAUGCUGCGCCAGGCCCGGCUGGCCGCCCGGCCCUACCCGGCGACGGCGGCUGCGGCUACCGGAGGCGUGGCUAAUGUAAAAGCAGCCCCAAAGAUCACCGACACAGGAGGAGGCUUCAUUCUAGAAGAGGAAGAAGAGGAACAAUGUACAAUUGGAAAAGUUGUCCAUCAACCAGGACCUGUUAUGGAAUUUGAUUAUGCGAUAUGUGAAGAAUGCGGUAAAGAAUUUAUGGAUUCUUACCUUAUGAACCACUUUGAUUUGGCAACUUGUGACAACUGCAGAGAUGCUGAUGAUAAACACAAGCUCAUAACUAAAACAGAAGCCAAACAAGAAUACCUUCUGAAAGACUGUGAUUUAGAAAAAAGAGAACCAGCUCUUAAAUUCAUUGUGAAGAAGAAUCCUCAUCAUUCACAAUGGGGUGAUAUGAAACUCUACUUAAAAUUGCAGAUUGUGAAGCGGUCUCUUGAAGUUUGGGGCAGUCAGGAAGCGUUAGAAGAAGCAAAGGAAGUUCGACAAGAAAACCGAGAAAAAAUGAGACAGAAAAAGUUUGAUAAGAAAGUAAAAGAAUUACGGCGAGCAGUGAGAAGCAGCGUGUGGAAAAGGGAAACAGUUGCUCAUCAGCAUGAGUAUGGACCAGAAGAAAGCCUAGAGGAGGAUACGUACCGGAAGACUUGUACCAUGUGUGGCCACGAGCUGACCUAUGAGAAAAUGUGACUCGUAAAGUGUAACGUUGCCACAGAUGAACCGGACACUCCUAUAAAUCAUGCUUCAGGAAGAAAUUUUAAAAACUGGACAGUGGGCAGCAAGACCUUCCUGGGACCAUGAGAAAACUUCCAGCUUGAGGACAAGAAUACUGAGGGAUCCAGGCAGCUGACAACAGCAUUACUGCAUGGGAGAUAUAGAGCCCUUGAGCCACAUGGACCUAGGUUCCAAUUCCAUUUUUUAGCUGUGGGCCUUGGGUAAGUUACUCUGUGGGCCUGUUUCUAUCUGUCGGAUGGGCAUGAUCCUCUCAGGACUGUUUGAGGAUUACAUAUGGCAGAUCUGUAGCACGUGGCAUCUAACAGCCACUUGUUAAUGAGCACAUUAAUAUAUAUAUAGUAUAUAGUUCCCAAUUUGUCUAGUUUCUUACAUCUUUGAAAUUCGGUCUGUAGUUUUCCCUAAAGGUAGCUGCCAGACUGUGAGCAGGGUCACAUCAGUGCAUUCUUGACAUGAAGAGAGGAUCCAAGAAAUUCCUCUAGAAUUCGAAUCAAGCAAGUAUAAUUAGUCAAACUGCAAUACAUUGUGAAAGAUUUAUAAGUCAGUUUAGGGUCAAAGUUCCCAAAGCCUUAAAGGGUCAUCCUUUUGGCUUCUUGAGGACAAGAGCCAUGUCUAACUGAAUACUGUUUGUGGGAAGGAGGAACAGUAUAACCAAAAGAAUAUUUAGCCAAGAGCCUGGGUUUUAGACUCCUUUCGGCUGGUAACCUGCCAUGCACACUUAAUUCUGUGAACAAUUCUUGUUUUGCAUGGUAUGGUUAUUUAAAAAUCCUAGGAGUUCCCAUCUCUUGACUAUAUUCUGUAGUCACCAAAUGAAGGGUACUCCAAAGAGACCAUGUAACAAUAUGAAAAAUACUAAUACAGCAUAAAUUUAUGACAUAAAUAAGUGAAAGAUACCUAUGUUGUACAAACAGAGAAAUACUACUUAUCAGUUGUGGGGUUGUUGAUAAAUUUUUCCUCAGGUUUAAUGAAGGCUUAUUAAAAUGCUAGAAAUUUGCAAUGUCAGAUAAUUCCCUAUUUUGCAUAUUUUACAUGUGUACUCAUUAUCUUAGUUAAGCUUUAAUACCAUGUAAGAAACUGGCUCAAGAAUUAGUAACUCCUUGGACUUAAAUUCUAUAGAAACAAAGUCCAUACCUACAGUACAGUUUUAGCCAAUCCAAACUAGCUACUUCUAUUUCCACUUUAGCAUGUACUUCAUAAUUGGACCUUGGACAAAUCUGUCUCAGAGAACAGAGGAAAUGACCGGACAGCUCUAAGGUAAUGGUUCCCAAACUUGUCCACACACUGGCAAUCACCCGGGAUCACCUGGGGAGCCUUAAGAACUACGGCUGUGUCCCCCGCCUCCCUGUGGUUUAAUUUAGAAAAUAACUUUAAAGACUCUCAGGUGACUUAUAUUCAAACAGAUUUGGGUAGUGCUAAAUAAAUAACACUUAAUAUGUGUAACAUUUUAAAACACUAAGAUCUGAAGAGAGAAUUCUGAAUGAGGGAAGAAUUGUGAAUGAGGAAAUCACCAAUC